AGGCGACGAUCCCUAGCUGGUCUGAGAGGAUGACCAGCCACACUGGAACUGAGACACGGUCCAGACUCCUACGGGAGGCAGCAGUGGGGAAUAUUGCACAAUGGGCGCAAGCCUGAUGCAGCCAUGCCGCGUGUAUGAAGAAGGCCUUCGGGUUGUAAAGUACUUUCAGCGGGGAGGAAGGGAGUAAAGUUAAUACCUUUGCUCAUUGACGUUACCCGCAGAAGAAGCACCGGCUAACUCCGUGCCAGCAGCCGCGGUAAUACGGAGGGUGCAAGCGUUAAUCGGAAUUACUGGGCGUAAAGCGCACGCAGGCGGUUUGUUAAGUCAGAUGUGAAAUCCCCGGGCUCAACCUGGGAACUGCAUCUGAUAUCUGGCAAGCUUGAGUCUCGUAGAGGGGGGUAGAAUUCCAGGUGUAGCGGUGAAAUGCGUAGAGAUCUGGAGGAAUACCCGGUGGCGAAGGCGGCCCCCUGGAUCGAAGACUACGCUCAG
rnacentral:rRNA from 1 species